GCUGCGAAUCUUUUUCCGGUGAACUGAAUGAUCCAUCAAGUGAAGAUUUUAGAAUGUUAUCUUUGUAAACAAAGUACCAUUACGCCCAAAUUGAGCCUCUCACCGCGUCACGUACAGGCGGAUACCCGCAGGCCUGACAGAUCAAGGAGAGGAAGAGACCUUUUGUAGUGUGUGAGUAUUAAUGCAGUGCUGUACUUUAAAUGUUGUAAGACAUUCUAAGAGCAUACAUUACUAUGUGAAGGAACCUCUGUAAUUUUAUAAAACUUGCUAGCAAUUGCCCCAACUUAAAUAAAGAGUGCUUUGUUAUCAUGUUGAUUUCUUUCUGCGCUUCAAGAACAUUAAUAGUGUAAUAAUUCCAACUCUCUUUCUAUCAUUCUAUUGACUGCCACUUAUGUGCACCAAUUAAACAGACAUCGAGAAAUCUUAGAUGUUGUUCACUCCUACUACGAGCAACUCAUUGCUAAACGCUUGAAUGCCUUCAAUCAUAAUUAUUUUUGCUCAACCAUGGACAUUUUCUGCAAGAGUGAUCUAGAUCUCGUGACAUUGACUCAGUUGCUCUGGGUGUGACACUCAGAUCAGAGAAAGAAUUUAGCCAGGAUUAGCCUUUGUGAAGAGAUCCUGACCGACUAAAGGCGCCUCUGGCAGCAUCUUCCCAUAUCGAAGCUAAGUUGAUAUCGAAGAUU